GUGGGGUAAUGGCCUACCAAGGCUUCGACGGGUAGCCGGCCUGAGAGGGUGACCGGCCACACUGGGACUGAGACACGGCCCAGACUCCUACGGGAGGCAGCAGUGGGGAAUAUUGGACAAUGGGCGGAAGCCUGAUCCAGCAACGCCGCGUGAGGGAUGACGGCCUUCGGGUUGUAAACCUCUUUCACCACCGACGAAGCGCAAGUGACGGUAGGUGGGGAAGAAGCACCGGCCAACUACGUGCCAGCAGCCGCGGUAAUACGUAGGGUGCGAGCGUUGUCCGGAAUUAUUGGGCGUAAAGGGCUCGUAGGCGGUCUGUCGCGUCGGGAGUGAAAACCUCGGGCUUAACUCGGGGCUUGCUUUCGAUACGGGCAGACUGGAGGUAUGCAGGGGAGAACGGAAUUCCUGGUGUAGCGGUGAAAUGCGCAGAUAUCAGGAGGAACACCGGUGGCGAAGGCGGUUCUCUGGGCAUGACCUGACGCUGAGGAGCGAAAGUGUGGGGAGCGAACAGGAUUAGAUACCCUGGUAGUCCACACCGUAAACGUUGGGCGCUAGGUGUGGGAUCCAUUCCACGGGUUCCGUGCCGCAGCUAACGCAUUAAGCG
rnacentral:rRNA from 1 species